AUCUUCGCUAGAAAAAUAUUCAAGAAAGUGAACACAGUAUCUGCAAAAUGAAUUAUAUAGUUGGAAAAUCUUGGUUGAAGUUCUGUUUAUGGCGGGAACUUAUUUUUUGGGAAGCUAGAGAGUAAAGACCAAUUGGGUGUUUGCCACGUAGCAAAUUAUGCCAUGUCAUCAAAUGAGUGGGCUUUGUCUAUUUGACUGACUAGCAAUCCCUGAGUUUGAACACACAGAAAUUUAAUUUCUUUCUUAAGUCUCAGUUACGUUCUUUAAGAAAAGAAGGAAACUUUAUUAAGGUGGAUCUUUAGAAUCAGGAGUAUCUAACCCAUUUCUUUGAGAAAUGUGCCGCUACCAGACAUGGGAAGACGAUUCAUCACUGGUGGAUAAUAAUGGACAUAGAAGAAACGGCAUGGAACAUGUAACAAGGUGGGAAACACAAAUGGCAAUGUUGGAGGCUCGAAUUGCAAAUAUUGAAGUUCGUUUGGGAAGGCUUGAGGCUAGGAUGUCAUAUUUACAGAUGGGAAUGCUCAUAUAUACUGUGUUGAUUUUGGUCAUAUAUAUGCUAUAUGCAAAUUAAGGCUAGAAAUGAUCACUAACUAUUUGUAGGCAUGUAGACUUUUAGUUGCACUGAUCAUAAUUAGGUGGGCACUUAGAAGGUGCUCUGUAUGCAA